GACAGAGGGGGCAAGCGUUGCUCGGAAUUACUGGGCGUAAAGGGCGCGUAGGCGGGAUGGCAAGUCGGUCGUGAAAUCCCUCGGCUCAACUGAGGAGCGUCGAUCGAAACUGCCGUUCUUGAGGGUUGCAGAGGAGACUGGAAUUCCCGGUGUAGCGGUGAAAUGCGCAGAGAUCGGGAGGAACACCCGUAGCGAAGGCGGCGCUCUGGGCCGGUACUGACGCUGAGGAGCGAAAGCGUGGGGAGCAAACAGG
rnacentral:rRNA from 1 species